rnacentral:rRNA from 1 species
ACACAAAAAUGCACAUGCUGUGAGCUCGAUGAGUAGGGCGGGACACGUGGUAUCCUGUCUGAAUAUGGGGGGACCAUCCUCCAAGGCUAAAUACUCCUGACUGACCGAUAGUGAACCAGUACCGUGAGGGAAAGGCGAAAAGAACCCCGGCGAGGGGAGUGAAAAAGAACCUGAAACCGUGUACGUACAAGCAGUGGGAGCACGCUUAGGCGUGUGACUGCGUACCUUUUGUAUAAUGGGUCAGCGACUUAUAUUCUGUAGCAAGGUUAACCGAAUAGGGGAGCCGAAGGGAAACCGAGUCUUAACUGGGCGUUAAGUUGCAGGGUAUAGACCCGAAACCCGGUGAUCUAGCCAUGGGCAGGUUGAAGGUUGGGUAACACUAACUGGAGGACCGAACCGACUAAUGUUGAAAAAUUAGCGGAUGACUUGUGGCUGGGGGUGAAAGGCCAAUCAAACCGGGAGAUAGCUGGUUCUCCCCGAAAGCUAUUUAGGUAGCGCCUCGUGAAUUCAUCUCCGGGGGUAGAGCACUGUUUCGGCAAGGGGGUCAUCCCGACUUACCAACCCGAUGCAAACUGCGAAUACCGGAGAAUGUUAUCACGGGAGACACACGGCGGGUGCUAACGUCCGUCGUGAAGAGGGAAACAACCCAGACCGCCAGCUAAGGUCCCAAAGUCAUGGUUAAGUGGGAAACGAUGUGGGAAGGCCCAGACAGCCAGGAUGUUGGCUUAGAAGCAGCCAUCAUUUAAAGAAAGCGUAAUAGCUCACUGGUCGAGUCGGCCUGCGCGGAAGAUGUAACGGGGCUAAACCAUGCACCGAAGCUGCGGCAGCGACGCUUAUGCGUUGUUGGGUAGGGGAGCGU